rnacentral:lncRNA from 10 species
GAGAUGAGAAAAAUCCACAGCAUUUGCCUCCUGAUGUGAUGCACUGGGGAAAACACAACAACACAACAUCAUAUUUGUGUUAUUCCUGCAAAAAAAAAAUAGCAUAACCUAAAUCUACUCAUGAGGAAACAUCACGCAAAUGUCACUUGAAAAACAUUCUACAAAAUAGCUGGUCCGUAUUCUUCAAAAAUGUCAAUAUCAUGAAAGACAAAGAUUGAGGAAGUGUUGCAGAUUAAAGGAGACUGCAGACACGUGACAACUGAAUGCAAUGCAUGAUGUGGGAUUAUCUUUUGCUUUAAAGCAAAAUGCUGUUCUUUAAAGGACAGUAUUGGGACAAUUGGUGAAAUCUGAAUAAGGCCUGUUUACUAGAUAAAGGAUAAAGACAGAGGAACAAAUACCAGACCAGCAAACUUACCUGAAUCCAGCUGCCCUCAGAGUAUGGCUGAGGCUUGGUCAAAGCCCAGAACUUAGCAAGGGUUAGAGGACAUCAUGGGACCAUAUUCCCAGUCACUCCAGGUUUGAGAAACAAUUCCACAACCGCUCUUCUCCCAUCAAGCUAAUACAUUUUGAGGAAAAACUCAAGAUUUCAAGAAAUAGGCUCUCGGACACAAUUCUGUGGGGGAGGUAAGAAGUCUGUGGCACAGACUUUCUGUCAGGCAAUUUGGCAAUGUAUA